UNGACAUUGCCUUAGCCAGGAGUCAAAAC
rnacentral:piRNA from 1 species